GAAAAAGCUUCAUUUAAUAAUUGGAACGAUACGGAGAUGAUUACCAUAUCCUUUGUGCAAGGAUGAUACGCAUAAAUUGAGAGAUGAUUCAAAAUUUA